rfam:Capsicum annuum cultivar Zunla-1 chromosome 6, whole genome shotgun sequence
GGUUCGAUGUUCGAGCAGUUAAUGGGGACGGACUGUAAAUUCAUUGGCAAUAUGUCUACGCUGGUUCAAAUUCAGCUUGGCCCA